UGCAGUCGAACGGUAGUAUGGUGCUUGCACUAUAUGAGAGUGGCGGACGGGUGAGUAACACGUAGAUAAUCUACCCUUGUGUUGGGGAUAGCUUAUGGAAACAUAGGGUAAUACCGAAUACGGUCUUAGAAUCGAUAGGGUUUUAAGAAGAAAGGCGCUACGGCAUCGCACGAGGAGGAGUCUGCGGUAGAUUAGCUAGUUGGUAAGGUAAAGGCUUACCAAGGCGACGAUCUAUAGCCGGCCUGAGAGGGUGAACGGCCACACUGGGACUGAGAACGGCCCAGACUCCUACGGGAGGCAGCAGCUAAGAAUCUUCCGCAAUGGACGAAAGUCUGACGGAGCGACGCCGCGUGAACGAAGAAGCAGA
rnacentral:rRNA from 1 species